rnacentral:rRNA from 1 species
GACGAACGCUGGCGGCGUGCCUAAUACAUGCAAGUCGAACGCAGUGGGGACGGGUGAGUAACACGUGGGUUACCUCCCAUCAGAGGGGAUAACACUUGGAAACAGGUGCUAAACCGAUACUGAUGGCUGAACCCGCGGUGCAUUAGCUAGUGGGGAAGGUAACGGUUCACCAAGGCCACGAUGCAUAGCCGGCCUGAGAGGGUGAUCAGCCACACUGGGACUGAGACACGGCCCAGAAUCCUACGGGAGGCAGCAGUAGGGAAUAUUGGGCAAUGGACGAAAGUCUGAUCGAGCAACGCCGCGUGAAUGAAGAAGGUUUUCGGGUCGUAAAACUCUGUUGUUAGGGAAGCGGUAUCUAAACAGAAAGCAACGGCUAACUCCGUGCCAGCCGCCGCGGUAAUAC